rnacentral:rRNA from 1 species
AUGCAAGUCGAACGAGAUCCUUCGGGGUCUAGUGGCGAACGGGUGCGUAACGCGUGGGAAUCUGCCCCUUUGUUCGGAAUAACAGUUGGAAACGACUGCUAAUACCGGAUGAUGACGAAAGUCCAAAGAUUUAUCGCCAGAGGAUGAGCCCGCGUAGGAUUAGCUAGUUGGUGGGGUAAAGGCCCACCAAGGCGACGAUCCUUAGCUGGUCUGAGAGGAUGAUCAGCCACACUGGAACUGAGACACGGCCCAGACUCCUACGGGAGGCAGCAGUGGGGAAUAUUGGACAAUGGGCGAAAGCCUGAUCCAGCAAUGCCGCGUGAGUGAUGAAGGCCUUAGGGUUGUAAAGCUCUUUUACCAGGGAAGAUAAUGACAGUACCGGGAGAAUAAGCCCCGGCUAACUCCGUGCCAGCAGCCGCGGUAAU